rnacentral:lncRNA from 1 species
CUGUGAAUCUUUACCUGUUGUAUUUCUGGGUGGGUCACUUCAGAGUACAUUGCGUUUUGUAGCAUCGUUAGGGGAAUGGAAAGUUACAAGCUUGGUGGGGGCAGCAUGUUAAACCUUUCAUUAAAAAGGACUCGCUAUUUGACAGUCCUUAUAAAUGUUCUUAAAAUAAGUGUUGCUGGGCUGACAGAACUGUUACAAUUUGUCAUUUCUGAGAUGGUAUGGUUUGGAAGUAAACCAUCGAAGAUUCUGAUCUUAUGGAGCUCUUCUAUGAAGGAGGGCCAAAAGCAAACAUCAAUAAAUUACAGACAUGUGGAGAAGCAUUUUGCAGUUAAUUAGCAAGAUGAGAGGAACCUGUGACUGAGUACUGGAGGCUCUGAGCUGACUUCAGAUGGUUGAGCACAUCUUUAUUUUUGUUUGAUGCUGUUUAAAUUUGCCAU